rnacentral:tRNA from 1 species
UGGGGAUUAGCCAAGUUGGUAAGGCACUGGAUUCUGACUCCAGUAUGCAUGUGUUCGAGUCACAUAUCCCCAG